CUGGAAGUCCCGCCCUCCGCUUUGCCCUCCCGCCUGAAAGAGUAAAUACAGGAGCCCUCCACCUGUCCGCCAGAAGACAGGUGAGGGCAGCACAGGUGUGGUCUCCCCUCCCCUCGUGUGAUGAACCCGCCAGAUGAUUGUGUCUCCCGCCUGGCGCCCUUGAGUCUCCCCAGUAUCGUGACUGGUGGGAUUCCUCACUCCUGACUCACUCCGUUCACAGGCGAAGGUAGAAUGGUACAGUCAAGUCAAUGAGGGAGUCUGGCGUCCACUCCAAGACUCAUAAAGCAGCAAGCAAGAAUUCCCAAUAGUACACGACCUCAUUACUGCGGCCAGUGUGUGGAGGUGUGGCGUGUGCGUGCGUGCGUGCGUGGCGUGCUGCAGGGACGUAAUCAUGUAGCCUGUGUGUUGGUGUGGCUUGCUCUGAUAUAUUGCUGGGAGUCUCACCUGCGACACUUGCCGGGUUAGUCUAGUUUGUUCACCUUGUGUAAUCUGUAGGACUCAGGUGGCGUCUCUUUGCGAUGUUUUUUUUUUUUUUUAUGGAUUUUGGGGUGUCAAUGA